rnacentral:lncRNA from 1 species
CCUGAAUUACACCUUAUAUAAGUAUCCUGUUUUCUUUAAGGUUUAUGGCUAUUGAAUUGAAACAGAUAUAUUAUGUUUUAAAGGAGGUAUUUGCAAAAAACCUGUCCAGAGAAGUAUUUUCCUUCUCCUAGAAACUCAAGUAGUUCAUAUUUGUAAAGAGAGGUUCAAAAUUAUUUACCUCCUCUCAACCGGUACUUUUCACAAAUACCUCUCCUAAACAAAAUAUACUACAUGUGAUGACAAUUUACAUAACAAAGGCUGAAAAUGUCUUUUGCUCAUAAAUGAUCAUGAAUACUUGAAGGUCG